ACGCCAAGCGUCGGCGGAGAGCUGCCUUGGCCGAGUGCUGCGCGGCGGUGCCUCAGCUUGACUCCUCCGGCGUAGGGCAGGCGAUUCAUCUUGGCGUGGCCGUGGAGAAGGGAAGGGCGUAGCAACCCCGAUGACGGAGGGAAAGACGAAGGCUUCGGCGUCGACGGUGCGUCGAUCCGCCCUUCGUGGUUGGUUUUUAUGGUCUUCUCCUUUCGAUUCGGCAAAUGAGAACCUCCUUGUCUGCCCUUUUGCUUACCACGCUUGGAUCCUCGCGGCUGAGGUAGGCUUCUGUGGACAUUGGAUGACAUUUAGGGUUUCUUUUACGACCGCGGAGAAAUAUCUGAGGUUUUAUUAGGCUGAGAAUGCAGACAUGAUAUGAUGGAAAGAAGGGUGAAAUGUGACUAGGAGAAUUCCAUGAUCGGAAAUGAUAAAGGGAAGUAAAUUAGGAAAAGGGUGACAAUGCAAAACUGGGAUGGCAGAAUAGACAUUGUGCUGCUUUAGAAAAACAUCAAAAACAUAAAAAUUGAGGAUGAAAAGUGAUAGCGAUAAUACUGGAAUCCUCUACUAUCGUGGACUAAAUAUGAGAACCAACGAUUAUUAACGAUAGGAAUCCACCAUCCUGCUUCCUUCACUACGUAGACCAGACAAUAGAGACACGGGGACCAACGAUCAUUAAUGACAGUAAGUCUCAACUUUUUUUUGGACAUAUCUUGGCUAACAUCUUGAGUUAUGCCAGCUAUGCCUCGACAUUAAAUGCUGGCUCACUUGCUCACUUGCUCUUAUCGAUAGCUUAUAUAGUUUGUUAUGUUAAAUGCUGCACCAUGUCUUCAUAAUUUAAAUGCCUUCAUGAACUAUUUAUGAUCUAUAUAUUUCUAUAUCCAUCAUCACUCGUCUAGUUUAAGGAAAUGCCUGAAAAUGGAUCAAGAAUUUUUUAAGAAUGAUUUGCUGGCAUAAACAUCAUCUCCACUUGUUUAUGCAAACUACCGACAGUAGAUAUUUGUAAUGAUAUUAUGGAUGAAAUUGUGGAGACUCAAAGUCAAAGUAGUUUAUGAAAUAUUUGUUAUUCGUUCCGAGAAAAAGAAUGCUGAGUAGUCUUUGCAAUUUGUUUCUGACUACAUCAAAAAGUUUGAGUUUUUCUAGUAAGUGGUUUAGUCUUUUUGACUGCUUGCUUAUUUUGCUUGUGUAGAGACCAGCCAAGGUUAGCUGGAACAAACUAUCUUCUUCAAGUGGCUGCACAAAUAUGAAUCUGAGCAUUGCUCAAACAGUGUCCACUGGAUAGUCCUUUUUUCCUUUUUCAGACUUGACAACACCAGAGGAAUUGCCAAUGAGAUUCAAUCAUCAUCAUAGAGUAGUCCCUUUAAGAAGUAUGCAACUUGAUUUCUACAAUCUUAAACCUUUCUUUUUGUGAUCAUCGAGUUUGUC
rnacentral:lncRNA from 1 species